UGUUCUUUCCAUAGUGGUGUGACAAGUACUUUUCAAUUCAAUUUGUUCAGUGUUAGCUUAGGAAAGCCACAAGAUCCCUUCUAGCUCUAAAACUUUCUUCUUUCUGUUUUUGUAAUAUAAUGUUCUAAUCCAAAGAUAACCUCUAGAAAAUUGAGUCUCAACUCGAAAAUGAAGAUAAUAAGGCUAAAGAUAGUCCCGACAAUGUAAAUCUUUCCUAAAGAGCUCUACAAGGAAGGUUUAUGAAAAUCUUGAGAAUAAAAAUGCAGAAUAAUCAUAUCUUUAUAGAUGGUAUCAAGAUGAAGAAAUUGUAUGAUCCUCAGGUCAAAAUACAAGUAGUCGAGAGAUUUGUCCAUCUAAUUCAUCAUACUACUCUGAUCCAAGUGAGACCCACAUUGGAUCAGCUCCAUCAAGGAGAGGAAUAUUUCACCCACGUUUGGAUUCUGGAAUAUCAUCCCUGCUUCCUUCAGAUUCUCGUAAGCACCUCACUUGGCACAAGGUAGAACAACAUGACAUUCAAGGAGGUCAACUGCGUUGCCCAAGAGUAAGAGAAGGUAAAAGAAUAAAUGUGUGCCUUUUGUUGUGUACAUCCUCCGAGUAGUUUUUGUGGAUUAAAAGGCAUUACUUGAAGAAAGAAAAAGACAUCAUUUGGAGGUAAAAUUUUCCUUUUUCAAGACUAUAGAAUUGUUGAUAUGUGAAGCCACCUUUGAAAGCAUAUUCUUAUAACUUAUUAUAUAAAUAACAUUCAGCAUUAUUGGAAAAAAUUGAAAGAUAAAGAAGAACCUGUAACCGACUAUCCAGAAUAACCACUCUGACUUUUGUUUCCAUUCUUGUACAAUAUAUACAUACAUAUAUAUACACACACGUAAUUUUUUUCACUAAAAUGAAUAAGCAUUUCUUCCAUUCCAUUAAACAUUACCCAAAUCAUACUUUUUAAAGCUUACAUAAUUUUCUAUCAUAUAUCAUUAAAUUUAUUUAGCCAAUAAUCUUUGUUGAAAAUUUAGUUUACUAUUUUUUAUAACCAUGUUAUUCACAAUGUAUAUAUCCCUCUCAAUCUAUACAUCUGUAUAUAUACAUCUACAUAUUGAUACAUAUAUCUAGAGAGUUAGAUAAGUAGAUAGAAACUUAUUAUAGGAAUCACAUGAUUGUAGAGACUGAGAAGUCCUACAACAUGCCUUCUGUAAGCUGGAGAAACAGGGAAGCCAGUGGUAUAACUUGGUCUGUGUCUGAAGAUCUGAAAAUCAGGAGGCUGACAGUGACACUCUAUCAGAGCCCUCAAUGGGUUGCAAGAUGCCUGCCCACAUUGGUGAGGGCAAAUCUUUGCUCAGAUUGCCGAUUCAAA
rnacentral:lncRNA from 1 species